rnacentral:misc_RNA from 1 species
GAACUAGCUGAUUACAAGAGCCACAUAACGAAGCUUGAAUCAGAGGUUUCAUCUCUGAAACAAUCAAUGGAAGAGUCCACUGCUCAUGUGACUGGGACUGUUGUAUGUGGACAAGCAUCAAAGAGAGGGAGACCAAGGAUAUCAACUGCUUCAGUUGAUGCAUUACCUUCACCUGCUGAAUCUCAACCCCGAACUCGAGGUAGAAAGCCCAAAGCUUAUAUAUUUGAGAAAGUUAUCCUAAACAAGGCA